CCUACGGGGGGCAGCAGUGGGGAAUAUUGCACAAUGGGGGGAACCCUGAUGCAGCGACGCCGCGUGGGUGAGGAAGUACUUCGGUAUGUAAAGCCCUAUCAGCAGGGAAGAAAAUGACGGUACCUGACUAAGAAGCCCCGGCUAACUACGUGCCAGCAGCCGCGGUAAUACGUAGGGGGCAAGCGUUAUCCGGAUUUACUGGGUGUAAAGGGAGCGUAGACGGCGUGCCAAGUCUGAUGUGAAAGGCCGGGGCUCAACCCCGGGACUGCAUUGGAAACUGGCAUGCUGGAGUGCAGGAGGGGUAAGCGGAAUUCCUAGUGUAGCGGUGAAAUGCGUAGAUAUUAGGAGGAACACCGGCGGCGAAGGCGGCUUGCUGGACGGUAACUGACGUUGAGGCUCGAAAGCGUGGGGAGCAAACAGGAUUAGAUACCCUGGUAGUC
rnacentral:rRNA from 1 species